rnacentral:rRNA from 1 species
UACGAAGGUGGCAAGCGUUGUUCGGAUUUACUGGGCGUAAAGGGAGCGUAGGUGGUUAGGUAAGCCCUCCGGGAAAUCUUCAGGCUUAACCUGAAAAGGUCGGGGGGGACUGCCUGGCUAGAGGACGGGAGAGGAGCGCGGAAUUCCCGGUGUAGCGGUGAAAUGCGUAGAGAUCGGGAGGAAGGCCGGUGGCGAAGGCGGCGCUCUGGAACGUUUCUGACACUGAGGCUCGAAAGCGUGGGAGCAAACAGG